GUGUUGUUGUUCUGUUGGUUGCAGCUGUCUGCUGUUGCUUCAGGAAACAAAUCAUUAGUGCUGUUGAUGACUAAUGUCGCUGCUGCAUGAAAUCUAAAGAAAUCAACAGGGAUGAUGAAGUGAAUAGGCAAAUCCAUACUUUGAAUGGGACACAGAACCCAGAUGAUCCUUUGGACAAUAACAGUGUUUUGUAGUCACUAUAAAAAUAUACACAUGAAGUUAACCCAUUUGUGUUUUUGUGAUAUGAAACUAAUGAGUGAAGACUUUCAUUUGCUUUGACAUAAAUAGAGAAACAUGCUUUGAUUUACGAUGAAGCUGAUGUAACAGUUUGCUGUUUGUGCUGAUGCUGAUGUUGCACUGAUGAUAUUAUGUUGUUUUGUACUAAGAGAAGGUUUGACUGAUCCAUUGUGAUGCAGGAUGUUACACUGUGAAAUGGCUUUGUUGUUACACUCUUAAAAAUAAAGGUGCUUCAUGAUGCCAUAGAAGCACCUUUUUUUUGUCUAAACGGUUCCAUAAAGAACCUUAAACAUUUGAAGAACCUUUCUGUUUUACAAAAGGUUCUUUGUGGCAAAAGCAGGUUCUUCAGAUUAUAAAAAGGUAAGAAAGAGAUGGUUCUUUAAAGAACCUUUGACUGAAUGGUUCUUUGUGGAACCAAAAAUGGUUCUUCUAUGGCAUCACUUUAAGAACCUUUUAAAGCACCUUUAUUUUUAAGAAUGUACACCUGCAAAAUUAAGCAGGAAUGAUCUCAAGCUAAUGAAUGUAUAUAUGCUUUUUUCUUGUUUUUGUUUAUUUGAUGCUCUUGCACUGUUACAUUGCACAUAUUUGUGCUUUAUUAAAGUGUUCAUGCUUAAAUAUUUUGUAUGGUACAAAUAGUACCCAUAGACGCCAUUAUAUAUAUAUUUUGUAAUCUGUUGUCGCCAAUAAGAUGUGAAUGCGAUAUCUGAUAUGUGUGUGUUUAUACAGGUGAUGUUACUGUCUAAACAUUUCAUUCCUUCAGCUUUUGCUUAUUUAGAAACCACUGUUAAAAACAGGAAACAUCACAAUAUUUUCCGUUCACAUUUUCAGUAUUAUAAAAAUAAA